rnacentral:rRNA from 1 species
GAUGAACGCUGGCGGCGUGCCUAAUACAUGCAAGUCGAGCGAACAGACGAGGAGCUUGCUCCUCUGACGUUAGCGGCGGACGGGUGAGUAACACGUGGAUAACCUACCUAUAAGACUGGGAUAACUUCGGGAAACCGGAGCUAAUACCGGAUAAUAUAUUGAACCGCAUGGUUCAAUAGUGAAAGACGGUUUUGCUGUCACUUAUAGAUGUAUCCGCGCCGCAUUAGCUAGUUGGUAAGGUAACGGCUUACCAAGGCAACGAUGCGUAGCCGACCUGAGAGGGUGAUCGGCGACACUGGAACUGAGACACGGACCAGACUCCUACGGGAGGCAGCAGUAGGGAAUCUUCCGCAAUGGGCGAAAGCCUGACGGAGCAACGCCGCGUGAGUGAUGAAGGUCUUCGGAUCGUAAAACUCUGUUAUUAGGGAAGAACAAAUGUGUAAGUAACUAUGCACGUCUUGACGGUACCUAAUCAGAAAGCCACGGCUAACUACGUG